GCUCCUAAGAAUAGUGUUAUUGUACCUACUAAAGAAAUAAAACUCAUUAUCAAAGGUAAAUAUAUGAAAAGAGGAAGAAGCCGAGCUAGAAGAAAAAUUCCCGCAGCAACCAUAGUUGCUGCGAGCCUUCGGUAUCGCAGCCGAGAUAGCGAUGGGUUCUCCACCCAUACGGGGAUGGAGCGACAGAAGUAUGGAAAUAGGAUAAGGUAG
rnacentral:rRNA from 1 species